rnacentral:rRNA from 1 species
UCCAGACUCCUACGGGAGGCAGCAGUGGGGAAUAUUGCACAAUGGGGGAAACCCUGAUGCAGCAACGCCGCGUGAAGGAAGACGGUUUUCGGAUUGUAAACUUCUGUUCUUAGUGAAGAAUAAUGACGGUAGCUAAGGAGCAAGCCACGGCUAACUACGUGCCAGCAGCCGCGGUAAUACGUAGGUGGCAAGCGUUGUCCGGAUUUACUGGGUGUAAAGGGCGUGUAGCCGGGCUGACAAGUCAGAUGUGAAAUCCGGGGGCUCAACCCCCGAACUGCAUUUGAAACUGUUGGUCUUGAGUAUCGGAGAGGCAGGCGGAAUUCCUAGUGUAGCGGUGAAAUGCGUAGAUAUUAGGAGGAACACCAGUGGCGAAGGCGGCCUGCUGGACGGUGUACUGACGCUGAGGCUCGAAAGCGUGGGGAGCAAACAGGAUUAGAUACCCUAGUAC